GUGCUCCCUUCAGCAGCACAUAUACUAAAAAAAAUUAGAAGAGUACAGAGAAGAUUAGCAUGGCCCCUGCACAAGGAUGACACACAAAUUUGUGAGGCAAAUUUCACUUUC